GACAGAGGGCUCGAGCGUUAGGCGGAAUCACUGGGCUUAAAGCGUGUGUAGGCGGAUGUCUAAGUACCUUGUGAAAUCCCACAGCUUAACUGUGGAAUUGCUUGGUAUACUGGAUGUCUUGAGCCAACUAGAGGCAACCGGAACAAAUGGUGGAGCGGUGAAAUGCGUAGAUAUCAUGUGGAACGCCAAUGGUGAAAACAGGUUGCUGGGGUUGUGCUGACGCUGAGACACGAAAGCCAGGGGAGCGAACGGG
rnacentral:rRNA from 1 species